rnacentral:rRNA from 1 species
UCGAGAAUUUUUCUCAAUGGGCGAAAGCCUGAAGGAGCGACGCCGCGUGGGGGAUGAAUGGCUUCGGCCCGUAAACCCCUGUCAUUUGUGAACAAAUUGAUUCACCCAAUACGUGGAUCAUUGAUAGUAGCGAAAGAGGAAGGGACGGCUAACUCUGUGCCAGCAGCCGCGGUAAUACAGAGGUCCCAAGCGUUGUUCGGAUUUACUGGGCGUAAAGGGUGCGUAGGCGGCUAGGUAAGUCUGACGUGAAAUCUCCGGGCCUAACCCGGAAACUGCGUUGGAUACUAUCUAGCUAGAGGAAUGGAGGGGAGACUGGAAUACUUGGUGUAGCAGUGAAAUGCGUAGAUAUCAAGUGGAACACCAGUGGCGAAGGCGAGUCUCUGGACAUUUCCUGACGCUGAGGCACGAAAGCCAGGGGAGCAAACGGG